rnacentral:lncRNA from 10 species
UUUCUAUAGUUGUGAUUCUCUCAUUCAUAGGUCAAAAGGCCACACUGGCAAAGUAACAACACAGAAUUUUAUUACAGCUGCUAGAUAUGAAGACUCAGCAUAUGAUAUCGGUGACGUUAAUACCUUCCCAGGGAGAAGCGCUGUUCCUUCUGGCUGGGAAGUGCGAGCCGGUGGGGGGAGAGAGAGGAGUAGAGCAUUAUGUGGAGGUACUUCCCGGUUCCCUUGCGUCUGAGGGUCUUAUGCCAGAGGGGAUAGAAAGCCCAACAGAAACUCAAGAUAGAAGAAGGAGAAUCUGCGAGUGUCUGUCUCCUGUCAAGCUUCCCUAAUACAGCCCUGGUAGAACUUCAUCAACAGUGGAAGGCAUUUGCAAAGAGAUGUCAUCCUGGGGAUGAGAAGGAGGAAGACAGAGAAACGCAGAAAAGCCUAAGCAGGCACCACAAAGAGACCGAGCCCGUCUGAAAGAGGCUGCUCUAACCUGGUGGAAACUAUUUUAAGUUGCCACCAGACAUUACAUUCCAGAGCCUUGAGAAAAACUGAUGAAAAAAAAGUCAUGAAAAAAAGUCAUUCGCACAAGUGACACCAUGGUGUGAAGUCAAGGAGCACAGACUCUGGAGUCAGAGGGCUUGAGUCAACCUGAGCAUCUUCAGCUUUGACUGUGAAGACACAGCUUUGACUCUCUGUGUUGCAGAGAUGGUAGUGCCCACUCCAGUGACGCUUGUGAGGAUUAGUUGAGAUAAUAAAUACAAAAUGCUGAGCAUCAAACCUAGAGUAGAGAAAGGUCUCAAGUAAGUACUCAUUACCAGUAUUUGUUAUUUAAUUUCACUUUUGUCUACAUUCCCUUGUGUGAAAUGGUUUGGAUAAUUAAUUAAGGAAAACUUUCCCUCAGGGACAUUGCUGAUAUUGCAAUCUUCACUAGAUACACUUAUCUCUACCUCCGCCUCCACCUCCACCUUCACCUCCAUCUCUUCUCUGUCUCUAUCUCUAUCUUCCUGUUGUUUAUCUAUCUAAUUAUUUAUAAAUGAACUGGUGGGUUUGUUGUUGUUGCAGCCUGGCUAAUGUUAUCCAGACAUAUCUGAAACCUCAUGAGUGGCAUGGAAUGGCAGUCCCUGCUUGAACCAUUUACCUCCUUUCCUAACACCAACAAUCACACACACCUGACACUGACCUGAAGCCUCUGGCCUGUCCUCGGAGGCAAAGACUGGGUAGACAAGAUGCCUGGUUACCAGCAAUCUUCUGCAAUUUCCUCUGAGCUAUUGAGAUUGCUUUUCUCUUUGCUCAAAUUAUGUGAGAAACUUUUAAAAAAGAAUUUAAUGUGCUCUUUUGAUAUUUCAGGUGUUCAUUCAAAAGCCUAUGUUAUUCUCUGUCUCUCUGUCUCUUUUCCUAGUUGGGUAAUCAAAAUGGCACAAUCAGAAAUAUUUAUAUCUGCAACAGAAAAGAAGAAUAAAUUUAUUCAUGCACAAGUACAUUAUGUACAUAUAUAUGUUUGUGUAUACAUAUAUCUGUAUAAUUGAUAUAUUUGGGAGAAAUAAAAGGUUUCAUUAAGCACACAAGUUCUAGAGUUAGACCCUCUGUCGCAAAUUACUGUCCUGUCACUUAACUCCUGCCAGAACAAAGUGCAUACUUGAACAAAAUGCCUGCUCUGUAAAAAUGCCUUGAUCUUGAAUAAAAUGCCUGCUAGGUCAAAGCUUCUAUUUUCCCACCUAGAAAAUGGGAACAAUAAUAAGAAUCCUCACUUAAUAGAUAAUGGAAAAAGUUGCUUGCAGCACAGAGCCUGCUACAGACAAUGCCUUCAAUUAAUGCAAACUAUUAAUAUUAUGAAAAGUGAGUAUCUGUUUUCUGACAAUGUUUUCAAUAAUAUAAAUUCUGCCUUUGUUCACUUUAUUUGUUUGAAAAAACAAAUAAA